GUUCCCGAGAGGUGCCACUACUCCAUCCAAUCUCAGGCUUUAGGGUCUGUGUUCCAGUGUUCCAGGAGGCUGGAGUUUCUUUUUGGGCACACAUUCAGGCCCAGGCUGGGACUUAACCACCUUGUGCUCCCUGGCUGGACCUGGGGGAGCCACCUGAUCCAGAGAAGACUCCCUACCGAGAAUUCCAGGCCUAGUUAUGGAGAACCCAAUGCACACAGGUAUGAAGUGAGCCGGAAGGAAACGAGUAGCUCGUGCAGGACAAUAAGCAGGACCCGAUGGGCUGCUGAGCUACUUGCUCCUCCGCAGGAUUUGGGGAGGUUUGAUCUGCUUCCCUAGAAAGAUGGGGUACAAUCUAGAUAUCAUCUGCAUUUAGAACUUUAGGAUCCUGCCUACUCUUAAGUCUCCCGAGGUGGGCAGGGCCAACCCAGGCCACAGACAAACCUGAUGGAGAAGAAACAGCCACAUUGCCAGGACCUGGACCACGGUGAGGAAAGGCCCUAAUGAGCCCCUCUGUCCUGUUCAGAGCUCACUCCUGUGAGCAACCUCAGACAAAGAGGCUCUGAGGAAGAGCCUCAUCAGACAGUUUCAAGAGGGGCUGCAACAAAAGCAUCAGAGAGAGGCAAAGUAUGCUGGGACAAGUUCAGGGCCUGGUUUUGGGCGGCUAGGAAGUGGGGAGGGAAGGGCUAGAGAGAUGACAGAGCUGCCCAAAGGAGGACUAGGGAAGGACCUUCAACUGGCCGUGUAUGUCACAGAACUCAGCCAGCAGCCACUUUGGAAAGAGUAAAUAUUGAUGGAGUCCCACUGCCAGGAAGACCUAGAGAGCAUAGAGAUUGGUGGAGGGACUGAUUCAUGCUACAGAGUACUAUGUUUAUUAGUUAGCUUUUGGGGGCAGUGAUAAAACACCAUGGCCAAACGCAACUUGGGGAGUAAAGGGUUUGUUUCCUCAUAUAGCCUGUAGACCAUCAUCCAGGGAAGUCAGGGCAGGAGCCGAUGCAGUGGCCAGGGAGGAGCUCUGCUUACUGGCUUGCUUCCUAGGGCUAGCUCAGCCUUCGUUCUCACAACACUCAGGUCCACCUGUC
rnacentral:lncRNA from 1 species